CCCUGCCUAAAGAGAGGAGAGAGAUGGAGAGAUGUGGAGAGAGAAAUGAGGGGAGAGUAAGAGGAGAGAGAGAGGAGAGAGAGAGAAGAGAAAAGAGUUGUACAGAUGGACCCGAUGCAGUGACUGACUGGCACGCAGACACACACUUUUUGUUUGCUGCACAUAAUCUGCCCAAUGACGCGUGACAGCCCACGUCCCCUCCCUUUAACUCUUUGCUGGGCUGGGCGCUCCCUCCGGCGCUGCCUGCCUGGAAGCGAUCUCUCCGGCCUGCCCGCGCCCCGCUGCCCCUGAGCGCCUGCCCCAAGUGGAAACGCCUCUCAGAGCGCGGCCCUGCCCGCCGCCUCCUAAAGCCUCGGCCCUCUGGGACUGCAGCCCUGGUCAGCCUCCCCACAUAAGUUCCUUCUGAUCGGACAGAGCCCCUUGCCUAGGAUUAAGCUGGGACUUGGAGAAAGAAGAGUUGCAAGAUCCUCAUAUACCAGGGAGGAAGGGGAGAAUUCUUCCUGAAUUUCCAGGUCCUGGCUCAUCCCCCCUCUAAUCAUAUCACCGAAGCACCACACACACACACACACACACACACACACACACGUAUAUUUACAUAUUCACACUGGAAGACAAGAGGAUGCCAAAGAAGCAGACAGACAGUGGAGAAUUUUUCCUAAACUUAUAUUUCCCACAGGGAGGUCUCUGGAAAGGGCUUAUGAGGAGACUGGGGGAGGCAGAGAGUAACUUCAUGGAGGGGUAUUGCAUUGUCUAGCCUCACCAUGGAGAGUAAGGAACUUUCUAAGGGAUAACUUAGAGCCAAGAAGAGGCAGACUUGCUGAGCUGAAUAAAGGUUUACAUGUAUGGGGAGGGGGCACUUUGUUUUUAAUAAAUAUACAUGGCAAUCCCAUUAUGGGCCUGUUCCUUAGCAAGGAUUACAGUGGGUUCAAUAGCUGAUAAAUGAAUUAAUCUUUCCCAGGCUCAUUCUGGGACAGCCAGAGAUGCAAAAGAUGGAUAAUCUUAUAGCCAGGGUCCCAACUGCUGGGAUCAUUACUCCUGACACAUUUUUCUCUCUUUCUCAAUCAAUGUUAACUGUUUUUCAUGCUGCUGCUACUACUGUAACUAUUGUCAUUAUAGUUAUAACCUACCUUUCUCAAGUUUAAAACU